GUAGGGAAUAUUGGGCAAUGGUCGGAAGACUGACCCAGCCAUGCCGCGUGCAGGAAGACGGCCCUCUGGGUUGUAAACUGCUUUUAUCUGGGAAGAAAAAGGCCAUGCGUGGCAAAUUGCCGGUACCAGAUGAAUAAGCACCGGCUAACUCCGUGCCAGCAGCCGCGGUAAUACGGAGGGUGCAAGCGUUGUCCGGAUUUAUUGGGUUUAAAGGGUGCGUAGGCGGCUGAUUAAGGCAGCGGUGAAAGACUCCGGCUUAACCGGAGCGGUGCCGUUGAUACUGGUUAGCAUGAGUGUUGGAGGGGUACAUGGAAUUGAUGGUGUAGCGGUGAAAUGCAUAGAUACCAUCAGGAACACCGAUAGCGAAGGCAUUGUACUGGCCAACAACUGACGCUGAUGCACGAAAGUGUGGGGAUCGAACAGGAUUAGAAACCCCAGUAGUCC
rnacentral:rRNA from 1 species